CAGUUACCACGACUAUACAACGUGGUGGGAUUUGACCUUGUAGAUGAUGAAAGUAAACCUGAAAGGCGUCCAACUAAGCACAUGCCUACACCAGCAGAGUGGACUAAUGAAUUCAAUCCAGCAUACUCUUACCAUCUUUAUUACUGUUAUGCAAACCUCUUCGUGAAUCUAAAGGAAUGGCCACUAUUAAGUUGCGGCCCCAUUACGGAGAGGCAGGCGAUACGGAUCAUUUGGCUACUGCUUUCCUCUUAUGCCAUAAUAUUUCCCAUGGGAUUAAUCUACGAAAAACUCCUGUGUUGCAAUAUUUAUAUUACCUCGCACAGGUUAGCCCCUCAUGGAUAGUCAGUCAUUUGGUCAACAUAACAAUAUCUAUCAUGCUCUAGGUUUCCAAACUAUUUUAUUUCUAGGAGUGAUUUUUCAAGUGGAGGAGCAAGAGGAGGUUGAUAUUGCAAAGGGAUACACUAUGACUCAAUUUUGUGACAAAAUCAUAGAUUUAUUCUUGAAUGAGAAGACCAAAUCAAAGGAAUGGAGGAAGUAUUUGGUAUUCAGGGAGGAAUGGAACAAAUACAGGAACAACUUCUACAAUAGGUGCCAAAAGAGGGCAGACAUGGAGAAAGACCCAACCAUGAAAGAAAAACUCAUUUUAUUGGGGAGAAGGGUGAAGAAGCUUGUGAGAAGAUCAAAAGCCUUGUGAAGGCAAAGGACCUUGAUUCUUCGUUGAUAUUGUUGAUCAAUGGUGCUUGUGCUAAAGCAAAAGAAUCUACCACAAUGAAGGAAGAGGUACUUUAUAAACCAAAGUCUGAAAAAGGCAUUUGGGACGGCUCCUACUGAUCCAACUAUGGACUUGAAUAUGCAACUGUAACUAACUAGAUUGUUGUAAUUUAUUAGAAAUAUGUUGCAAUCUCUUUUCUAAAUCAGUAUGUGCUUUAUGUCUUAAUUCUUGGAAAAAAAAUUGUUGAAUGUGGCCUUGCAUUACAAUUCACAGUGACGCUGAUUCAAAGCUCUCUAGAACUGAAAACAACUUAAGCUAGAGCUUAAAUGUGUGUGUUGUGUCAUUAAAGUGAGUCAUUAAAUAUAAUAAUAAUGAAGUGUUUGCGUUAUAACUUAGUUAUUAAAUAAUAA